CAUCUCUAUGGAGCAAAUGAUCCCAGGGUAGAAAGAACAAGCUCAGUGGGGAAGACUGCCCUGACAUCAGCCAUGGCCCAGCAGUGCCUGUGCAGAAGAGAAGGCAGAUGUAGCUGGGGAGGUGAGGACCCCACUGGGAGAGGAGAUGAGAGCAGCCCCUGCACAUGAUGUGCCUCCCAGAAUUCCCGGGACCCCUGACUGUGGCAAUCCUCAGUGGUUGCUGCAGCUGGAGGAGGGAGAAACCCCAGGGAGCAUUUGGGGCACAGUCAGACCAGAAUAUAUCUUGUCACUGAAUCUGCCCUUGUUCCCCCAGCAGAGUCAUUUCCGGCAGCUCUGUUCUCUUGGGGCUGGGAGGUGCUUUUCUGACUCUCUCUCCCACAGCAAACAGGAGGGUCGGUCUCAGCAUGCACCGUGGGUAUCUUGUCCUCAUUGCCUUCCUGGGGCAACUGCCGGAAACCAUGGGGCAGGUGUCCGUCACCCAGGAAGAAGGACAAGUCUCCGUGGAGCAGGGAAACACCUUCCAGACCAAUUGCACAUAUGAAACCUCCAGCUUUUAUGGCUUGCUCUGGUACGAGCAGAAGAAGGGACAAGCCCCUCAGCUGAUUACACAUCAAGCAAUAGCAGGCACCAAGCAGAAGGACCGUUUCACCACGGAGCUGAACACUAAGGGGAAAUCCAGUGUUCUGCGUCUGAAGGAAGUCGAGCUUUCUGACAGCGCCUUGUACCUCUGUGCUGUGAGUGACACCCUGGUGCAGGAAGCUGCCCUGGCUGUGCAACAACUCUGGAGGAGGAGGGGACUUAUUCUCCAGAAGGAUUUUGUCAUUUCCAAGACAAAGGUGAAUGAAUCUCCAAAUUGUGAAUGUGCUCCUCCAUCUCAGACUUCAGUGUUAGCCAGGAGAUAAUUCUGGCUCAGGAGCACCUAUUGAUUAUUGCUCUAACCCAGGAAAUAGAUAUGUUUUGCAUAGAAGGUCUGGGUCCCAGUGUGAGAGCUGGGUCUGGGGCACAGACUAAGGCCAGACCCCAGAGAGGCCUGGCUAAAGGUUCCAUCCAGUGAUGGCGCUGCACCACCCAGAUGGCUGGCCAGGCCAGACUGGUAAGAUUAGGCCAGGCCAGGCACAGGCACACACUCAGUAAAGCUGGGGCAGGGCUAUGCUAGGCCUGAGCUUGUGCAGAGACCCUGGGCUAGGGGUCAGGCCAGAGCUGUAAGAUGUGGUUGCCUGGGCUUUGGUGGGCUUGGUUCUGAUGCUUGUUGCCCUUGCGCUGCCACCUGAGCCAGCACUGCCUCCCAAAGAACCUGGCCUACGGAGAGGUACCUCCAUCCUCACACCAUGGAGCAAUAGCCCCAUCCCCCAUCCUGGUCCCGUGGCACUGGCAGCAUGUACAGUCUGUGUGAAACUAAAUCACCCCCACACCACAGGACCCCAGGGUUUGCAGAUGUGGGAAGGCCCUUGCCUGGGAGUGGAGAGCAGUGGUGCUUCAUGAAGCAAAAGGGCCACUACAUCCUCAUGGCUCUGGGAAUGACAGAGGAGCUUGGUGCCUGGGAGAAGAUCCCCCAGCGUGUGCCCUGUGGUUGGGCUGGUGCAUGCCCUGUGCCAUUCACGGCCCAUACACAGACCUUGCUGAGUGCACAAUCAGGUCCCAUUCUCACUGCUAUGACUCAGCAGAGACUGUGGGAUAUCUGCCCCCACAUGAUCUGUUCUCUGGAGCAUGGUGCAAUUGUGCCACGUAUGUAGCCUCAGAUCUGGAGCCUGACAAAAGCUGAUCCAUGCUUGGGGAAAAGACAGCAAGACCGAGCAGCCAUGAGUGUUUGGGUAUCAGUCCCUGUCCUGGGCCUGAGUUCAUGAAAAGGAGUUGAUUUUACAGGGACUGGGGGCUCCAGUGUGUGACCUGAUGGGACUGGUACCAGUACGAACCUGUGGAUCCCCUCAGCCCUAUGUAUCGUGGCAACAGCUGGGCCAUGCCAGAGACUGUGCUGAAAUCUUAUAGGGAUGCAAAGGGAAGCUGUAUCUGCUCUCCAUGCCCAGACAUGAUACCCAUGAUCAGGUGGUGCCGGAAAGGUGAACAUGGAGGUGAGACAGACGGCCACCCCCAAGAUAAUUUCCCAUUCCCAGUUUCUGCAAUCCUUUGAGAUCAUCUUUGUCUGAACCUCCAUCCCCAGCACAGCUCCACCCAUAGCAAGACAAACACUCUUCCAAAGAUCUGGGGACUCCAAUGUCAACAGCGCUUGUCUAGGCAGAGACGUCACAAGUCACGGACUGGUGGCCAUUGGCUGUUGAGGAACUAGGGAUGUCUUCCUCACCUUCAAGAGACACUGCCUGAAAGAGGAAUUGCUGCAGUAUGCCCCACCCUCCAGUGCCUAGAGGAAUGAGGCAGUGCCCCCAGCCUAUUCCCACUAAGG